AUGUUUCCAGCCGAGCUGUGUGUGGUGGAAAGGAAUCUCUACAGAGCUCAAAGCAUUCCUGGUUUUAUGAAUUUCAACAAUGUUAAACUGGGACAUAUACAUAAGGCCCAAGAGUUGACAUGCAAAACUACUUCUCCUUUUUCCAAAAAUUAUUGUCCUCUGAAGUGCCUGGAAUUCUGGAACCAAAGAAAAUUCUUUCUUGCCUGGUUUCAACCUACUGGCAUUUUUGGUUAUUUGUUUUUACAUACAUUGGUAAGAAUCUGUAGUGGAAAUCCUAAGUCACAGCUUGACACAGUGAUGGAGCACCUGGUAGGAAGUCAGGACCAACCCAGGGAAGGCCAUGUGCAUGCAGUGCCCCUGAGUGACCAGAAGAAGUGGAGCCAGGAUCUACCCCCUUCUCAGACCUCAUUUAAGGAUUGGCAGUGGAGAUGAGGGCAUCUUGCUGGAGCUCCCUGCAUACCAGAGGCCUUCUGAAGGUAAGCAAAUUUUCUUCUUUUGUUUCUGUGUCUGUGGUUGCUGCAUGUGGGCUUGU
rnacentral:lncRNA from 1 species